UGUGUAACAACUCACCUG
rnacentral:snRNA from 1 species